AAAUAAGCGGAGGAAAAGAAACUAACAAGGAUUCCCCUAGUAACUGCGAGUGAAGCGGGAAAAGCUCAAAUUUAAAAUCUGGCGGUCUCUGGCCGUCCGAGUUGUAAUCUAGAGAAGUAAUGCCCGUGCUGGACCGUGUAUAAGUCUCCUGGGAUGGGGCGUCAUAGAGGGUGAGAAUCCCGUCUUUGACACGGACUACCAGUGCAUUGUGGUAUGCUCUCAAAGAGUCGAGUUGUUUGGGAAUGCAGCUCAAAAUGGGUGGUAAAUUCCAUCUAAAGCUAAAUAUUGGCGAGAGACCGAUAGCGAACAAGUACCGUGAGGGAAAGAUGAAAAGAACUUUGGAAAGAGAGUUAAACAGUACGUGAAAUUGCUGAAAGGGAAACGCUUGAAGUCAGUCGCGUUGGCCGGGGAUCAGCCUUGCUUUUGCAUGGUGUACUUUCUGGUUGACGGGUCAGCAUCAAUUUUGACCGCUGGAAAAAGACCUGGGGAAUGUGGCAGCUUCGGCUGUGUUAUAGCCCCUAGUCGCAUACAGUGGUUGGGAUUGAGGAACUCAGCACGCCGCAAGGCCGGGUUUCGACCACGUUCGUGCUUAGGAUGCUGGCAUAAUGGCUUUAAGCGACCCGUCUUGAAACACGGACCAAGGAGUCUAACAUGCCUGCGAGUAUUUGGGUGGAAAACCCAAGUGCGUAAUGAAAGUGAAAGUUGAGAUCCCUGUCGUGGGGAGCAUCGACGCCCGGACCAGAACUUUUGGGACGGAUCCGCGGUGGAGCAUGUAUGUUGGGACCCGAAAGAUGGUGAACUAUGCCUGAAUAGGGUGAAGCCAGAGGAAACUCUGGUGGAGGCUCGUAGCGAUUCUGACGUGCAAAUCGAUCGUCAAAUUUGGGUAUAGGGGCGAAAGACUAAUCGAACCAUCUAGUAGCUGGUUCCUGCGA
rnacentral:rRNA from 1 species